GCGGGAGUAGCUCAUUUGGUAGAGCGAUAGCCUUCCAAGCUAUAGGUGGUCGGUUCGAGCCCGAUCUCCCGCUCAA
rnacentral:tRNA from 1 species